ensembl:lncRNA
GGUUGCUUUUAUUUUCCUGAAACCCUUCAGGAAGACAAACUGCCUGCCUGACUAACACCUUCUGCUCUAUCAGCAGUCACACAUGACAGUUCACCGAAGAGUCUGUCUGUGUGUAACCUGUGUAGAGACAGAUACUGGCCUCCAAAGCAGCCUUGUUAACAGAAGUCCUCGCCCCAGACACCCUCAUGAUGUGUGAAAGCAGUGUACACUGUCAUGACAUAUAGCACAUCAGCUCUGGACUUUAAUUGAAAAGUACCGCUUCGUUAUUGAUCCUAAUCAAUUAAGCAAUUAUCACGUCAUCACAGUCCUUUAAUAGUGGCAUCCAAGCAAUUAUUGGGAAGAUAACAAAAGUCAGGAUCAAUUUCUACUGUGGCAUUUAGCACAGGCUUAUGGCGCUGCCAAGACGACAAAGACAUACAAACCUUAUGGUGCAGCUACGACAUCUGCUAGCAGAAGCUAACCGGGCCAUGCUAACCAGUCAAACUCUGACCCCUGGUUUCCCCCUUGUGAACGGCUCUGCCUGCAGGUACUGAACACCUGGUGAAGCUCUUAAAAUAAUCAUAUGGCAGAGCUGGAGUCCUAACCAGCGGUCGCGGUCCUGGGACCUCUUCAAACUACAUUAACCUGGCCUUCAUCUGCCUUGGGGUCUCAUUACUUACAGCAGUGUCCUGGUCUGGGUCUUGGCUUAUGAUCUAAGACAAGAAAGCAGUCAAUUUACAGCAAAUUAUUGGUGAUCAUUAAAUGAGUCCAGAAUUUUUUUUUAUAAAAUGUAUAAAGUUAUACUUUAAUUAAAUAAUAAAAUAAAAUAUUAAAUAUUUUAUAUAAAAAAUAGAAAAAUAUUAAAAUAAAUAAAUUCAAAUAUUAAACGAAAUAAUAAAAUAAAAUAUCUGUAUCAGUCAGUAGAAGGCACUCUCUUUAGGCUUGCUAAAGAUUCAUUGCUUCAGUCACAGCGCAUCUGUUUUACAUUUUCCAGUAAUUAAAGAGCAGUUAAAUACUCCCUUUCUUCUGUGGUACAUCUUAUUACAUUUCGGUUUAAAUUUACUCCCCUUUGUGUUGUGGACUCAUGUUUUACUUGGAUUUAGUGGGAUUACAUAAUCUAAAAUAAUUAUUAUUAGCUUGGUUUGAGGAAAUCCGGUCUGUUUUGACUGCUUUUUUAUUACCAUUUAUUAUAAAUCCACAAAUGGAUUCAAGUUGAACAAUGUCCUUUAAUUUAACCAGUCUUAAAACUGUGUGUAACCAUUCAAAAAUCAUGGUUGAUCUUGUGAGUCGUGAUGUCUGAUGUCAUCAGAAGGCACAUGUUCAGCUCCACUCAACAAACUGCACUUCUUCAGUGAAAGCCUGCAGCUACAUAAACCUCAAAAAAAGAGCACUGGUCAUUUGUAAACUACUGUAACAACUGGAUCCUUAGCACGCGGUCGUUAACGUCCCUAACCAUACUGGCAUUGUGGCAUACACACACUGAAGAUAUUGAAGACAGACAUGUUCAGAGACUAAUAGAUUAGUCAUUCAUGUAAACAUUAGUGCCUAUGUAUAUAAUAUGCAUACUAUGCAUUUAAUAGAAAUAAUAAAAUAAUAUAAAUUUAAAUAAUAUUAAAUAAAUAUAAAUGAAAUUAUAGUACCAUUCAAAGGUUUUUGGUAAGGGUUGGUAAGAUUUUUUAAUUUUUUUUAUUUUAUUUACUUUUUUAUUUUAUUUAUUUAUUUUGUAGCAAGGCUGCAUUAAACCGAGUGUGGCAGUAAAGACUUAAUCAUGACAUAAGUUGCAAUUUACAAAAAUAUAUGAAGCGGCACAACUCUUUUCAACAUUUAUAAUCAUAAUAAAUGUUUCUUAAUCAGCAAAUCAGCAAAUUAGAAUGAUUUCUGAAGGAUCUUGUGACACUGAAGACUGGAGUAAUGAUGCUGAAAAUUCAGCUUUACGUCACAAGAAUAAAUUACAUAUUAAAUAUAUUCAGAUAGAAAACGGUUAUUUUAAAAUGCCAUAAUAUUUCAGACUGUAUUUUUGAUCAAAUAAAUGCAGCCUCGGAGAGCAGAAGACACUUUUUUUUUUUUCAAAAACAUAAAAUCUUACCAACUCCAAACUUCUGAUUGAAAGUGUAUGUGCCGUUAACUUAAAGGGCUAGUUCACCCCAAAAUGAAAAUUCUUUCAUUAAUUACUCACCCUCAUGUCAUUCCAUUGUUGUAUAUAUUUAAAGAGUAUUUGUUUGGGCUGAAUAACAAUUAAAUUCUGUCAUAAAUUGCUCUUUAUUUUGAUUUUGAAGGCUACAGUUUAGAUGAAAAACACAAGCUAUGAAAUGGUCUCAGAAGAAAUAUAGCACAAAGGCCAAAUGGAUGGUGCUUUAUUAUACUGAGUAUGGCAAAAAUCUCUUUUUUAGGUGAACAAUAGCACUGGAUUAUAACUCUGCACAGGUCGGUAAUGAUUGAAUCACUCCAGUCUCACAAUGUCAACACUAAUGGUUAACUAUAUUAUGGUUAUACUUUCAGAACAAUGUGACAGUGAAUUGUAACUCGUGGAUUGUUUCGUUGCUGGAUUGUCAGUCAGAAUAAUGUGAACGCAUGCUUUUCAGGUCUCAUGAUUCACGCUGAAACUCUGACACUAAUGACUGCAUUACUGCGGAUGGUGUGGGUGUUUCAGAACGGCUCCUGCUUUCAAUCGGUGUCUGAGGAUGCUGGAGACGCUGUGGGAGGGUGAAACUUUGGACUGCUUGUAAUUAUGACAAAUAAAAAGAGAGAAAAAGUUUUCAAAUAUGUCUCUCUUUAACCCUCUCCAACUUUCUAGUCUUUCUGUAUUUUUUCAUUUGAUCCACAUUACUUAAUUUCUUUCUCCAGGCAUAGCACAGACUCUGUCACGACAAACCUCCAGUGCAAAUAAAGUCAAAAUUACAUCAGGCAACAUUUCUACAAAUGCAACACACCUAAAAGAUAGAAACCUCUAAGGACAGAGGUGUUUUCAACCCAUAUUACGUUCCAAAAGAUCCACAAUCCUGAGGCAUUGUGGCAAUCAUUACAACAUCAGCCUCAGCCUUCCUUUGAAUACACAUAAUCAGUUCUGCGGAAUGAUCAAAAGCAGAAACAUGAAAGAAUUUCACAUUUUAUGAAAGCAAAGAUUAAACAGUAGGCAUGUAAAAAAUGCUGUCUGAAAAGUUCAUAUUACAUUAUAAAUCCCAAAACAGACGAGACAACCAACUUUAUUAGCAUAGUUUUUUUUAACAUCACUUUUCAACACUAUAUUCUAAUAUUCAGAAUCAGACUUAA